AUAUUUGAGUUAGCUCAUCACUAUUCAACCUUCUAGUCUGCUCUGGCCUUUAGCCCAACUUGUACUUGCAAAAAUUUCUGGCCUUCCCCUAUUUCACUCUAAAGCAGCAAGCUUUCUCCCCUCUCAAGUCUCAAAUAAAAACCAGCAAUCUUCUUGACGAAGAGGGGAAAAAAAAAAAAACAAAUGAGCCUGAGAAAUCUAAAUGAGUGGACCGUUAUUGCUAAAGAAGCGUUCAACGGAUCCUUCUUAGUAGCCAAAGCUCUUUGCUUUCUCCAUGUCACCAAAACCUAUGUCUUCACUGUUGCUUCGCUCUAUGGACCAAGUAUGCUCCCUACCUUUAACAUUAGUGGUGAUUUGGCAUUGGCUGAGAAGAUUUCACACAAGCUUGGCAAAGUGGGUGCUGGAGAUAUUGUUCUUGUUACAUCACCCGUGGAGCCAAGAAAAAUUGUGACUAAAAGAGUUAUAGGUGUUGAGGGUGAUUCUGUUACUUAUGUUGUUGAUCCCCAAAACAGUGAUAGAACUGAGACUAUUGUGGUUCCUAAGGGCCAUAUUUGGGUAGAGGGAGAUAACAUAUAUAAAAGCAAGGAUUCAAGAAACUUCGGGGCAGUUUCUUAUGGCCUUCUUCAAGGGAAAAUAUUUUGGAAGGCUGGUUAACUAGACCUGGCAGGUGUAGGAAAAAUUCUAUCAAGUAAUAUGAACCAAUAUUAUUGUAAAGAAUGUUGGUAGUAAACCAAAAAUAUGUCUUACCAAUCCACAUGGAAGAGUGAUGGGGAAUAAGGGAGGCCAUCUAAGACGAGGCAGCAUCUACUUGGGAUUGACAUGGCAGCCCAAGCAGUAGAUAUGGCCACCCAAAGAUUUCGGACCACUUGGGAACAAAGAGCAAAACAGCUGAAUGAAUGUUGUUAGGUACGUGUUCUUAGACAGCAUAGUCCUUGCUCUGGAUGAUCACCUUGCCUAAAGUUACAUUAUAUUACCUUAGUGAUGACUUGCAAGUAUCUAGCAUAGUUAUAAAACCCAACCCGGUAGUUGACCCGGUAAAAUGACCAAGUCACGGGUUUUGUGGGUCAGCCCGGAUUUAAGGAUAACAGUUCUAGUUUCUCGGUCCAAAAUUCCAAAACAUCAACAUUUAAUCUGUUGACUUGGAAUUUAAAAUUCUUACACCUUUUUUUUA